GGUGAACGCUGGCGGCGUGCUUAAGACAUGCAAGUCGAACGCAGUCUUCGGACUGAGUGGCGCACGGGUGAGUAACACGUAACUGACCUACCCCCAAGUCGCGGAUAACUGGCCGAAAGGUCAGCUAAUACGUGAUGUGAUGUCCCCUUUCCGGGGGGCCAUUAAAGGUUUACUGCUUGGGGAUGGGGUUGCGUUCCAUCAGCUAGUUGGCGGGGUAAAGGCCCACCAAGGCAACGACGGAUAGCCGGCCUGAGCGGGUGGCCGGCCACAGGGGCACUGAAACACGGGUCCCACUCCUACGGGAGGCAGCAGUUAGGAAUCUUCCACAAUGGGCGAAAGCCUGAUGGGGCGACGCCGCGUGAGGGAUGAAGGUUCUCGGAUCGUAAACCUCUGAAUCAGGGACGAAAGACGCGUAAGCGGGAUGACGGUACCUGAGUAAUAGCACCGGCUAACUCCGUGCCAGCAGCCGCCGUAA
rnacentral:rRNA from 1 species